UUUGCAGCGAGGAGAUUGAAACGGGC
rnacentral:piRNA from 1 species